UGGAGCUGCUCAGGAAGAGAGGACAUGGUCAAAUCUGUGGGAUGCUGAUCAGAUUUAUUCUUUCCUCGAGCUCCCCUUGGGCAUGGAUUAGGAGGCUGAGUGGGUGAAGUGGGAGGAUUGUAGUGGUGGUGAGUAACAAGGCUUUAGCAAGUGCUGAACUGAAAGAGAAGAAUUUUCUCACCUUUCGGUCUUACACUUUCAUUUUUAUGGAUUUUGGGACGCUUUCAUAUGGAAACACAACGAUCUCCUCCACCAAAUGUGGGUGAAAGAUUGAAAUGACAGAAGAGACUGAACAUGGUUAUAAAUGAGAGCCGUGGCGGGAUGUUUCUGGGCCAGCAAGUCUCCACUCCAUGAACUUUCUGCUUCCCUUCAACGGAGAUUGGUGGCAUCAGCAGCCAGACACAAUUCAGAAUGGAAAGCUUUCAGAUGUCACCAUCUACACAAGGCUGGGGGCAGCAGAAGAGCAGACCUCUUGCCUCUAACUGUCUUCUCCCACCCCGUAAAAUACAGACAGGGCAGACUGUCUGCCCGGGGAUGCUGGGAGCGUGUCCCAACAAGCUGCAGCUUGCACAGAGGUUGCUAAGUGACUUAAAUCCAUUGCACAGAACAGAACUGUAUUGCCACGAAACAGCAGAACCUGACUUAGUUUCUAGUAACUCAUUAAAAUGACUCUACAAUUCUUUUGAUGUUCUGUACUAGUCUGGUCACAUUCCUUUCUGUUUUAUAGCACGGUAAUAACAACAUUCUUGUAAACAGUCAUAUAAACUCUAACCUUCAUAUUGCUCUCUUCAGAUCAUCUGAAAGCGUUUUCACAUUGAGAUUUGGCUUUCUUGCCCCCAUAAAGCAUAUCCCACUCUAAUAACCCAGGCCAUCAAGGGACCAGAGGGAGAGAAUAGGGAUGCACAAGUUGAUUACUGCUUGUCACUUGUUUAGGGCAGCCAUAUCAUCCUGUAGAGGCAGAAGUGUUUUGCAAACAUCACCUUUAUAAAUCCAAUGCUUAGAGCUUCUGGGGCUCCCAUUCCCUUCCAGAAGAAUCUCUCCUGUCGACACAGACUCCAGCUUGGAUUUUUGUCAGUUAGUGCCCACCGUUUGGUAAUUAGCAGCCUGUACUCCCUCCAUUGGUAACAACACACCACCAUCCCUUACUUGGGCAGAUCUACAG
rnacentral:lncRNA from 1 species